AUAACAGAAUUUGAAUUUCUCUCCUCUUACAGUAGUUCUGGUUAUCCCAGGGAGACAGUAAUCUGCGUGAGGAGUAAGAACACAGCCUUUCUUCACCAUGAACUGUAUUACAAAAAAAACAUAACCAUCCUUGUCAAGCAUAAUGGCGUCCGCAGCAUUCACAUUGUUACUUUCAAUCUGGUUGUUCCGUUACAAAGAACAUUAAUCUCACAUAAAAAAUACAAGACAUAAUGAAGAUAAAUGUGAAGCCAAAUUCAUACAUUAGGUGAAUUGCGGCGUGUAGUUGCAGUCACCAACACAAUUCCACCA